rnacentral:rRNA from 1 species
ACGGGAGGCAGCAGUAGGGAAUAUUGCACAAUGGGGGAAACCCUGAUGCAGCAACGCCACGUGUGGGAAGAAGCAUUUCGGUGUGUAAACCACUGUCGUGAGGGAAUAAUGCUUGGCCUCGGCCAAGUUGAAUGUACCUCGAAAGGAAGCACCGGCAAACUACGUGCCAGCAGCCGCGGUAAUACGUAGGGGGCAAGCGUUGUCCGGAAUGAUUGGGCGUAAAGGGCGCGUAGGUGGCCUGUUAAGUCUGGAGUGAAAGUCCUGCUUUUAAGGUGGGAAUUGCUUUGGAUACUGAUGGGCUUGAGUGCAGGAGAGGUAAGUGGAAUUCCCAGUGUAGCGGUGAAAUGCGUAGAGAUUGGGAGGAACACCAGUGGCGAAGGCGACUUACUGGACUGUAACUGACGCUGAGGCGCGAAAGUGUGGGGAGCAAACAGGAUUAGAUACCCUGGUA